UACGGCUCAGUAACACGUGGGUAAUCUACCCUCAGGACAGGGAUAACCCCGGGAAACUGGGGAUAAUACCUGAUAGGUGGAGAGAUCUGGAAUGCCUCUCCGCCGAAAGCUCCGGCGCCUGAGGAUGAGCCUGCGCCCGAUUAGGUUGUUGGCGGUGUAACGGACCACCAAGCCUUAGAUCGGUACGGGCACUGAGAGGUGGAGCCCGGAGAUGGGGGCUGAGACACGGCCCCAGGCCCUACGGGGCGCAGCAGGCGCGAAAACUCCGCAAUACGCGCAAGCGUGACGGGGGAACCCCAAGUGCCUCAUCUUUUUGGUGAGGCUUUUUUAGAGUGUAAACAGCUCUGAGAAUAAAAGCGGGGUAAGACCGGUGCCAGCCGCCGCGGUAACACCGGCCGCUCAAGUGGUGACCGCUAUUAUUGGGCCUAAAGCGUCCGUAGCCUGUUCGGUAAGUCCUUGGGUAAAUCCUGCCGUUUAACGGUAGGAAUUCUGGGGAUACUGCCGGACUCGGGGUCGAGAGAAGUCGGAGGUACUCCGGGGGUAGCGGUGAAAUGCUGUAAUCCUCGGGGGACCACCAGUGGCGAAGGCGUCCGACUA
rnacentral:rRNA from 1 species